rnacentral:rRNA from 1 species
UUCCGGUUGAUCCUGCCGGAGGCUACCGCUAUUGGAAUCCGAUUAAGCCAUGCAAGUCGAGAGAUUUCGGAUCUCAGCAGACGUCUCAGUAACACGUGGAUAAUCUACCCUUGAGUGGGGGAUAAGCUUGGAAACCUGAGUAUAAUACCCCAUAGGUCUAGGAUGCUGGAAUGCUUCUAGGCUGAAAGCUCCGGCGCUCAAGGAUGAAUCUGCGGCCUAUCAGGCAGUAGUGGGUGUAACGGACCCACUAACCUUCGACGGGUACGGGCCUUGAGAGAGGUUGCCCGGAGUUGGACUCUGAGACACGAGUCCAGGCCCUACGGGGUGCAGCAGGCGCGAAAACUUCACAAUGUGGGAAACCACCGAUGAGGGGAUUCCAAGUGCCAGCACAAUGUGUUGGCUGUUCACUUGCCUAAAAAGCUGGUGAAGUAAGGGCCGGGUAAGACGGGUGCCAGCCGCCGCGGUAAAUACCCACGGCCCGAGUGGUGGCCAUUGUUAUUGAGCCUAAAGCGUUCGUAGCCGGUUUCGUAAAUUUCUGGGUAAAUCGGACAGCUUAACUGUCCGAAUUCCGGAAAGACUGCGAAACUUGGGACCGGAGGAGGUUGGAGGUACUCCUGGGGUAGGGGUGAAAUCCUGUAAUUCCUGGGGGGACCACCAGUGGCGAAGGCGUCCAACCAAGACGGCUCCGACGGUAAGGGACGAAGCCCUGGGGCGCAAACGGGAUUAGAUACCCCGGUAGUCCAGGGUGUAAACGCUGCAGGCUUGGUGUUGGGGGUCCUACGAGGGCGCCCAGUGCCGGAGAGAAGUUGUUAAGCCUGCCGCUUGGGGAGUACGUCCGCAAGGAUGAAACUUAAAGGAAUUGGCGGGGGAGCACAGCAACGGGUGGAGCGUGCGGUUCAAUUGGAUUCAACGCCGGAA